AGUGAACGCUGGCGGCGUGCCUAAUACAUGCAAGUCGAACGAAUUGGCGCACGGGUGGGUAAUAUAUAGUUAAUCUCCCCUACAAAAAGGAACACCAGUUGGAAACGACUGCUAAUACCUCUAAUUGUAGGUUGAGACUAUAUCUUAUCAGCUAGUUGGUAAGGUAAUGGCUUACCAAGGCUAUGACGCGUAACUGGUCUGAGAGGAUGAUCAGUCACAUUGGAACUGAGACACGGUCCAAACUCCUACGGGAGGCAGCAGUAAGGAAUAUUGCGCAAUGGGGGAAACCCUGACGCAGCAACGCCGCGUGGAGGAUGACACUUUUCGGAGCGUAAACUCCUUUUAUCAGGAAAGCGGUACCUGAUGAAUAAGCACCGGCUAACUCCGUGCCAGCAGCCGCGGUAAUUC
rnacentral:rRNA from 1 species